AGCUAGAGGACACCCACGACCACCAUGGCACGGUUGGUCGGCAACAUGAGGGAAUCCGAAGGAAGAGAGAACAACACCGAGAUCUCUGAUCUUGUGUAAAGGGGUCUCCUUCUUCUGAAGCAGAGAGAUCGAGUGCAGUACAAGAAUAACGAAGUAUGUCUGCCUGUUAAAACCCUAAAAUUGCAGGCAUAAAGGCUCUCCGUGCUUCAUUUUCUCCUUCUCGGCCUCUUCGCUCGCUGGGUACACGGUCAUCUUCAAAACCUCUCGUUUCCUCUUUUCAUUCUUCUUAAUCGUCUGAUUGCUAAAGGUUGAGGAUGGGGUUUGGGGUUAACCUCUCUAUAAAGCGCCGAAGCCUUUUCUUUUCCCCCGACUUUCUCCUCUGUUCUUCCUCUGCUUCUCGCGACUUCGGACUUCACGCGACCGAGACCGGCGAUUUCUUCUUCUCUCGGUGGCGCCGGCGAAGAGCGGACCUUGGAGCGUUGAGAGGAAGAGAGGUUAGUUACAGCCGAACCUUCUUUCUCCCCGAUCCCUUCCUCCCUUCUCUGAUCUCGGUGAACAACGGCGACGGAUCUCGAUCGGUGGAUUUCGCCGGCUGUCGGGAGGGAACCAAGGGCAUCGGCGUUGGAUCAGGCCAGCAUCGAUUGUUUGGAGGAGGUGGUUCUUUCUGGGAAGCAGAGACUGGUAUUUUGGUCCCGGCCACCACAGCUCUGUUGGAUCGAUCUCUUCUUCGUAUCAGUGAUCGUCUCCGGUGAUUGAAGGGUGCAGAGAGGAUGCGAUGUGCUUAUUUUAGAUACUGGAUUGGGAAGUGCAGAGAAUCAAGCAAGGGUCAAGGAGUUGCUUCAUGUGGAGGAAUCAAAACUAGAGGAGGAUGAGGGAAAUACCACUCCAGCAGUGAGAUGGGUUCGAGAUGAUAAAUAUGAUUGCAUCCGAUUAAAGCAUUGCAAGGUGAGCUAUAUUCAUUGUGUAUCCCCCCUUCAGAGUACAUAUGUAUCUGUAUAGUAAUUAAUUUCAAUAUAGGCACAUCAAAUUACCUUAAUUGUUUCUAGACAUAGACUUAAUCCUUUGGAUUACUUUAUUUUAAUUGGUAGAGUAUUUGCCACUACCUUUCUAUUAUUCAUUCUUUUGCUUUGCAGGUUGUGAAAAAAUUGAUUGGCAUCGGAAAGGAGACUAUUUCACUACUGUCGUUCCUAGUGAUAUCCUAAUUAUGAAUUUUAGUUGUACUUAUUUUUAGUCAUUCCUAGUGCCUAUUUUAUAUCUCAGUUUUGUUUCUUUCUUUUUUCUAAUACACACUGACAAAUUGGAAAUAUAUAAAAAUCAUGACAUUAUACCUAGUUACCUAGCCUUUGAGGCUGGAAUCAGGAUGAAACCUAAAGUGCCCUGAAAAGUUUAGGCAUACCAAAUUCUCUCAGUUUAAUGACAGAGGUCAGUUGUGUUGCAAACUUUGUUAUUUUCCUUGUUUUUCAUUUACCGCGUCUAGAUUAAGAAACUAUGGCUUUCUAACUCAAAUAAAAAUUGCAAUUCCUGCCUAUCUUAGACCUAACAUUAACUUAUUAAUUGAACAGGUGUUUUAGAUUGUAAAUUUCAUCCGAGGCAGCCAUGGCUAUUCACAGCUGGAGCAGAUUCUGUCAUUAAACUGUAUUGCCACUAAUGAUAGAUUC